GGCUCAGGAUGAACGCUAGCGGCAGGCUUAACACAUGCAAGUCGAGGGGCAUCGGGAGUAGCAAUACUUGCCGGCGACCGGCGCAAGGGUGCGUAACGCGUGAGCAACAUGCCCGUAUCAGGGGGAUAAUCCAUGGAAACGUGGUCUAAUACCCCAUAGUAAUUAUGUAAGGCAUCUUAUAUAAUUUAAAGCUUUGGUGGAUACGGAUUGGCUCGCGUGACAUUAGCUGGAUGGUAAGGUAACGGCUUACCAUGGCUACGAUGUCUAGGGGUUCUGAGAGGAAGGUCCCCCACACUGGAACUGAGACACGGUCCAGACUCCUACGGGAGGCAGCAGUGAGGAAUAUUGGACAAUGGAUGGAAAUCUGAUCCAGCCAUGCCGCGUGCCAGGAAGACGGCCCUAUGGGUUGUAAACUGCUUUUGUAUGGGAGCAAUAAGGGCUACGUGUAGUCCGAUGAGAGUACCAUACGAAUAAGCACCGGCUAACUCCGUGCCAGCAGCCGC
rnacentral:rRNA from 1 species